rnacentral:snRNA from 1 species
ACCUUUAGGCAGUGGCAAUAUCGUAGCCAGUGAGGUGUGUGUCCAAGGAGCGAUUAUUGCUAAUUGAAAACUUUUCCCAAUACCCCGCUGUGAGGACUUGAAAUAUAGUCAGCAUUGGCAAUUUUUGACAGUCUCUACGGAGA